rnacentral:lncRNA from 10 species
GACAUGCAUAGAGGUUGGAUUAAUAUGGAGGCUUCUAAUUCAGCCAAAACAAUUCUUCUUUUUAAAAUUAUGGUGCUAUUUUUAUUAGGUUGAUCACCAAAAUAAUUGAUUUGAUUUUGUGUGUAAGCUGCUUGAAGGAAUGCUGCAGAUGGACAAUUUUGAAUACUAUAGGCUGGGCGCAGCAUCUCAUGCCUGCAAUCCCAGCACUUUGAGAAGCGAAGGCCAGAGGAUCACUUGAGGCCAGGAGUUUGAGACCAGACUGGGUAACAGAGCAAGACCUCAUCUCUACAAAAAAAUUUAAAAAAAAUAUAUAUGUAUAUAUAGCCAGGUAUGGUGGCAUAUGCCUGUAGUCCCAGCUACUUGGGAUGCUGAGGUGAGAGGAUCACUUGAGCAAGGGAGGUUGAAGCUGCAGUGAGCCAUGAUUGUACCACUAUAUUCUGACCUGGGUGACAGAGCAAGCUCCUACCUCAAAUAUAUAUAUAUGUAUCUUUGGUCUACAUCUAUUUUCCAAGAGUGAUUGCUGAUUCAGUGAAAAAUCUAUGCUUUAAAAGAUAUAUCAAAGACUAUACUUCCCAGCAUCAUUGCUAUGGUUCAUUACUAGAAAAGUUUCUCCAACUUUGUAGAGCACUAGGAGCCAGAAGGAGGAGGUGCAGUGUUCUCUCUUUAGUGUGAAGCCAGCUUUGCUCUUCGGGAAGGAAUGCAGUCUGAGCGAUUCCAUUUUUAAUUUAAGAAUUUUUUUCUUAAAAAAAGAUACAACAAAGAGAAUCCAAACACCAGGUUAAUAAGGUGGUGAAGAUUCUGAGAGUUGUAGGAGAUGUUGUAAUAAUCCUAGUUAUAUUUCUUUCUCAUAUAAAAAUGAAGGAACAGGAUUUAUUUUAUCAACUCUAUAGAAGAUUUGUUUAAUCUCCUAUAGAGAGUACAUGUGUAUCUUUACAAUCAGGAUUAAAAAUAUUAUUUUCAACAAUUGGCAGGCUAAAUUUGUACUAGAAAGCUAAAUUUAGGCCUUAGAUAAAUGUAGUAAGUAUAUUUUACUCAAUGUACAUUUAUGCAGAUUUUUCAAUAGUGGUAAGUUGUAGUGCCUUGGUUCAAGACACUGAAACAAGUAAGCAGAAAAUCUCAUUUUCAGAAAUAAAAAAAAAAUAAGGAGAAAAAUCAAUUUGUAAAAGACCACAUCCGUUCAAAUGAAGUGAAAAUAACAGCUAUAAUAGACUUUGAUGUUCACAGAAUAUACUUAUGGGAAUUAUGAACCAAUUUUAUUUCCUGUUGUUUAUAAUAGAUUAACAAUAUAUAUAGACUUUUACUUUUUAAUUCCUUAUUCAUGGUUCUUGGCACAUAGUUUAAAAUGUUUGUUGUUUUUUAAGUAAAAGAAUGAAUGAUACUAUAUUGGAGAAUAAUUCAAUCUAGUUUUGUUGGUAUGACUUAGGCUCAUAUCUGAUUUGCUCUAUAACAGUCAUAUUAU